UCUCAGAUGAUGUAUUAAAGUCACAUAUUAUUUAAUAGUAAGGUCAAAAAUAUAUAUAAUUUAGUCACAGAUUCACGAUUUAAUUAGUCACAUAUUAUUUUUCGGUCAUAAAUCAAAAUUUUUAUAUAUCACAAACUAUUUUGCGGUCACAAUUCAAAAAUUCAAUAGGUCACAAUUUGUUCAUUGGUUACGAAUCAGAAAAUUUUAUAUGUCACAAAUUAUUUAUUAGUCACAGAUUACAAAUAUUAUAAGUCACAGUUUAUUAAACAGCCACAAAUUAACAAAUUUUUUAGGUCACAUUUUUUUUUUCACAAUUCCUCUUGUUUCACUGGUCACAUGUUUAUCGGUCACAGAUAAAAUGAUCCGUGACUGCCACCAACACUUAUGACCACCACCCCACCACUGCUGCAGCUGUAUUGACGUCACAACUGCCACUUCCAAAGCAACCACCACCAUGUCCCGGUGGCCUUGUCACCACCAACACAAAAUCACUAAAAAGUUACCACAAAACAACCUAAAUCCAUCCCAAAAAAGAAACACCACAAACCACGAAUCCAUCCCUGUCCGUCGCGCACAAUACCAAUCUCGCCGUGGGCGACGAAAGCAAGUACCUGCUGACGGGGGUUGAGCUAGAAGACAAGAAUCAUGGGGGCAAAUUUCAUAAAUUGGCAAAAUGUAAAAAAUAUAAGGACUUUUAAAAAAAAUAAAUUAAAAUUUGGUUCAAAACAACAAAUUUUGUAAAAAACCAUGGGGGCAGUGGGUUGUAAAUCCGCCCCUGCCUACCGAUGAAAAGAACGAAGAAAAAGGAAGAUGAUUGUGGCCACUGCUCUUCACAUCGCGAUGAUGGUGGUGCGGGUUAGGUGGCGGGGAUUACUGCGAUGUUGUUCAACAUAACAUGAGGUUAAGCGAUAGCUGCACAACGCAGUGGAUAUCGCCUGAAUCGAAACAGGUUUUUUAGGCUGCUAAAAGAGAGAGAAGAUGGGUGGAGAGAGAAUACGAGUGGGAGGAUAGAAGAAAGAUUGAAGAGAGAGAGAGAGAGAGAGAGAGAGAGAUUAGAUAGAGGUACGAG
rnacentral:lncRNA from 1 species